rfam:Gossypium raimondii Chr02_contig_18, whole genome shotgun sequence.
UGUUAAAAAUUUCAUCUAUUUUUACUGUUAAAAACUGACAUGGCUAAUAGAAUGACCAAACAAUUUCACGUGGCAUGUUAUGUAUACCUCAUGUUGAUGCAUAAAGACUAAUUUUUAACAUUAUAAGUGGAUGGAAUCUAUAACA